rnacentral:rRNA from 1 species
GACGAACGCUGGCGGCGUGCCUAAUACAUGCAAGUUGAGCGCUGAAGGUUGGUACUUGUACCAACUGGAUGAGCAGCGAACGGGUGAGUAACGCGUGGGGAAUCUGCCUUUGAGCGGGGGACAACAUUUGGAAACGAAUGCUAAUACCGCAUAAAAACUUUAAACACAAGUUUUAAGUUUGAAAGAUGCAAUUGCAUCACUCAAAGAUGAUCCCGCGUUGUAUUAGCUAGUUGGUGAGGUAAAGGCUCACCAAGGCGAUGAUACAUAGCCGACCUGAGAGGGUGAUCGGGCAAAUUGGGACUGAGACACGGCCCAAACUCCUACGGGAGGCAGCAGUAGGGGAUCUUCGGCAAUAGACGAAAGUCUGACCGAGCAACGCCGCGUGAGUGAAGAAGGUUUUCGGAUCGUAAAACUCUGUUGGUAGAGAAGAAAGUUGGUGAGAGUGGAAAGCGCAUCAAGUGACGGUAACUACACAGAAAGGGACGGCUAACUACGUG